UAAUCACCUCUCCCCAAUACCUCUUAGGCCUCCCUCUGCCUCGCCGAACGCCGACCAUCGUCGGUCGUUCACAACUCCUCACCGGGGCAUCAUGACUUCUCUCCGCACAUGCCCGAGCCACCUCAGCCUCGCUUCUCGCAUCUUCUCAACCACCGGGGUCACCCCCACCUUCUCUCGAAUAACUUCAUUCUUAAUCUUAUCUAACCUAGUGA
rnacentral:lncRNA from 1 species